AUACGGAGGGUGCAAGCGUUAUCCGGAAUCAUUGGGUUUAAAGGGUCCGUAGGCGGAUAAUUAAGUCAGGGGUGAAAUCCCACAGCUCAACUGUGGCACUGCCUUUGAUACUGGUUAUCUUGAGUUAUAGGGAAGUAGAUAGAAUAUGUAGUGUAGCGGUGAAAUGCAUAGAUAUUACAUAGAAUACCGAUUGCGAAGGCAGUCUACUAUCUGUAUACUGACGCUAAGGGACGAAAGCGUGGGGAGCGAACAGGAUUAGAUACCCGAGUAGUCC
rnacentral:rRNA from 1 species